CCUACUCUAAAAGGAGGGAUGGACUAUGCCUCGGCCAGCCCCCCAAAACUUGCCCACUCCCGCACAACAGUUCACUUUUCCAUUUGGUGCUGAAGACAAAUAUGUUGUGGGAAAGUUUUUCCCCCUCUCUCGCCCACCAUCAUGUGGUUGGAAUAUGUUCCAUCUUAACGCUGUAGCCGAAGCAAGUGUAAUGAGCAGAGAAUUAGCGGCAAUUUUAAAUGAAGGGACAACAAGAAACGGAUGGAUUUUCAGAGGGAAGUCUUGAGAGAACCUUGCACAUAUUCGAAAUGCUUUAUCCUGGGAUGAUUUCCGUCAGGACUGUUCACGCAACCAGCUGUAGAAUCUGUCACAUAUUUUGAAAAUGAGGGAGGGGUAAGGAAUGCCAUCUGUCAUCCACUCUGCGACAGAGCAGCAGAAGCACUAUUUGAGAGUUCCUGAAACCAGCACCAGGUGAAGUCUGGGAGGGAGCCAUCACAGCGGAGAGAGAAGGUGAUGUCAUCGUUUCCCUGCUGUCUGCUGGCAGAAUUCUCUUUCACACCUGAGAGGGAAAUGUACAGCUUCAUUUGGAUUGAUGCAAAAUGAAAAAUGCAUUGAUUGAUUGAGGGAUUUUAUCAAAAUUUAA